AUUCUUUUGUAGUUCAAUGAGCCUGAUGACUGGGUGUUCACACGUGUGUGUGAGAUGUGCUAUUCUCGAACCUUGUUACAACGUCGUCGCAUUACCUGUCUGACC
rfam:Pan troglodytes isolate Yerkes chimp pedigree #C0471 (Clint) chromosome 6, whole genome shotgun sequence.